ensembl:lncRNA
GCGCCCGGCUCAGAGCAAAUAACAACGCGGCUCGUUAGCAUUAGCAAUUUUUUAUUUUCCUUUUUUGUUGCAUAGGAAAUGCAGUACUUGCUUCCAGUAAUUGUAUUGUAAUGUGAGAAGGUGGUAGCACUAAUGGUUGAAUACAAGAGUUAAACUAAUCCACACCAGCUCAAAAAACCUGCGGAGACUUAGUUGGAUAAGGAUGGAUGCCCACAGUGAUUCGCAACCAAUUACAAUUUUUUUUCACAGAACACAGUAAAACUAAAAUGGUAACUAUGAGAGUCAAUACAAGUAUACUAGAGGCACGAGGGGCCUGACUCAUAAAAAGAAAAGGAAAACGAACGCAACGUGGUAUUAACACGGGGGUGGCGGCAGGCCGUUCCCGCGGGCGGGUUCGGGCGGACGCGGGGGCUCGGCGGGACGAGGCCGGGGCGCGGGGCAGGCGACCGUCUCCCCACCGCGCUCCUCCUAGAGAUUCGCCCGGGUUUUUUUUUUGUUUUUCUCGUAUUAAUUUGCAGAUGGGGAUAAAAGGCGGCGGGGGAUUUCACAAAACGCGAUUGCUUUUGUUCCUGCUGGAGCAUAAAAGAGUAACUAAGUGGAAAACAGUCCUCUCCUAAAAAAAAACGCGUGCAAAGUACAAAAGUCCACGGCGUAGACAAGUGCUCUCCUCUAGGAAGGCUUUUCCCUAGCGCUUGGAGGUAGCAAUCGAGCGUGUUUCUUUUUUUCCCGGUGGGGACAAAAGCCGCUUCCGAUGGGAAGGGCCCAAAAGUUUGUACAGAGUUUGUCUGAAGAAAAAAUAUUGCAACUGUGCAUGAAACUAAACAACCACAUGAGGUUUUUUUUUUUUCUUUUUUUCUUUUUUUUUUUUUUUUUGAAAGGGUUUUUCUUUUCUAUGAGGAAGUCUGGUGUGAAGAAGGGUCAAGCAUGGGUACCUGGUUAUCCGCUGCCCAUUAAGAAACCUCUCGCAACGUGAGCUCAGUGUCUCAUUUGUGGGUUUAGAGAAGCGUCCCUUAAAUUUGAACUUUUAGGCUUGUGUUCUUCAGAGCAAGCGCUUUGAAAUCUUAGGGUAGCUUUUCGAGACGAAAAUCUUACCAGGCACGGCUUUCUGGUCUCAAACACCAUGUCCUGCCCUCUAGGGAANAAAAAAAAAAGAAAAGGAAAAAAAAAGAAAAAAAAGAAAAAAAACCCAAAACACAAGUAAUACUGAAUUUAAGUAAAUGUAUACCUCCAAAAUACUGAAAACACCCCAAAUCAAGAAAAGACAGAAUUUGCGUUCUCAGUGAAAUAUCUUUAAACCUAUCUGACAAGAACCAAGUCAGAAAAAAAGACUAACAUAACUUUGAGUAAUAUUCAUACAGCUACUAAGCAUUAUGGAAUAGCAUGCAUUAAUAUUGUACGGUUAUUUUACAUCACCUAUAUCAGAAGGUUCUGACAGACAGCGAAGGCUACCGGUGUAGAAAAAUCUUACUUCAGAAGAGCAAUAUAAUACAGAUUUCACAGGCACUACAUUUUAAUAUAUCAGGUAUUAUGCUGGUUUUCUUAUAACUCUUUCUGUCCUAAAGCUGGCAUUAUAACAAUGACCAAAAAGGCAAGGAUCGAAGUAAACGGAAAGUAGAUACCAAAGUUGAUAUAUUCUUUUCUUUUUUUUUUCGGAUAGAUUAGUGCAUAGUUUCCAUGCAGAUAAACACUGCUAUGCAUUUACAUUGUUGGAAAGCAGAGUGAAUUGAGCCCAAGUUGUCACAUUUUUGUAAAUCAUUUUGCCAGCCUGUAAUAGCACCAUGUAAUGGAUUUGCAUUAAACAUUAAAUUGAUUUCAGAAUUGGUGACACAGUAUUCACUACAGUUAAGUGCUAUGGAAUAGCUUCAAUGUUACCUGCUAUAUAUCAAAGCAAUUUUCAUCCCACUGCUUUUUUAUUGGAAAAAAUAAAAGGAAAAUGUACUCGAUACUAAUUAGACUA